rnacentral:sRNA from 1 species
UGAAGACGCGCAAAAUUGUUAUCAUCCCUAUUCUCUAAGAUAUUUUAUUUGGCCACCAGUGGUGGCCAUUUUC